rnacentral:rRNA from 1 species
UGAGGAAUAUUGGGCAAUGCCCGCAAGGGUGACCCAGCAACGCCGCGUGGAGGAUGAAUGUCGUAAGAUUGUAAACUCCUGUUAGAGGGGAAGAAUAGUACCGGUUGGACCGGUAUAUGACUGUACCCUCAGAGAAAGCACCGGCUAACUACGUGCCAGCAGCCGCGGUAAUACGUAGGGGGCAAGCGUUGUCCGGAUUUACUGGGUGUAAAGGGCGCGCAGGCGGGAUAAAAAGUCAGUGGUGAAAGCCUACAGCUUAACUGUAGAACUGCCUUUGAUACUUUUAUUCUUGAGUUCGGGUGAGAGAGACGGAAUUCCAGGUGUAGUGGUGAAAUAAGUAGAUAUCUGGAAGAACACCAGUUGCGAAGGCGGUCUCUUGGUCCGACACUGACGCUGAGGCGCGAAAGCGUGGGGAGCAAACA